rnacentral:rRNA from 1 species
UAGUCUUGACAUCCCUCUGACCGGCGAGUAACGUCGCUUUUCCUUCGGGACAGAGGAGACAGGUGGUGCAUGGUUGUCGUCAGCUCGUGUCGUGAGAUGUUGGGUUAAGUCCCGCAACGAGCGCAACCCCUAUCUUUAGUAGCCAGCAUUUAGGAUGGGCACUCUAGAGAGACUGCCAGGGAUAACCUGGAGGAAGGUGGGGAUGACGUCAAAUCAUCAUGCCCCUUAUGACUAGGGCUACACACGUGCUACAAUGGUGAUAACAAAGUGAAGCAGCGCCGUGAGGCUGAGCAAAUCACAAAAAAGUCAUCUCAGUUCGGAUUGUAGUCUGCAACUCGACUACAUGAAGCUGGAAUCGCUAGUAAUCGCGAAUCAGAAUGUCGCGGUGAAUACGUUCCCGGGUC